rnacentral:lncRNA from 1 species
CCCCUCUAAAGCAAUUAUUCUGUUCAAAAGAGGAUUUGUUUGUGAUAUUCCUUUAAGAAUCUUUAUUUAUUCCCCCAACAGUUUCUUUUUCUGCAUCCGCUGCUCUGUUAAGUGAUCACCACAUUCAUUGUUCUCGUUUCUAUUAUUUCUGAAAAAAAUCUUCAGGAUUCUGCUUGUGGGAGUGGAUGACAUUUUUACAGUGUUUACAGCUUUAUCUAUUCCAGAAUGUCAUAUAGCUGGUAUAAGGUUGUCUUCAUUCAUUUCCACAGUUUCUCUGGAGGUUCCAACAAGAUACGGUCUCCAUUGCCCAUUGCUCUGGACCCCAGCCAUCACCCAGUGCAGCAGUGAUGCCUUAUGACAAGUCAGCACCUGGUCUGAACUCUGCUCUCUUUGCACUGAAUUCUUUGAGUUUUUAUUCCAAGUUCAGUCAUUGGUUUUAGUAUUGGUUCCCAUCUGCUUGGCAUCCUUGGUGGAAUUGGGCUUCUUUUUUCAAUUUCUUUUUGCUGUCUUUUUGUUUUACUGUGUUGAGUAGUGCUAUCUAAAUGUGUUUAUCAUAAAAGAAGCAGCACAUGAUCAUAGGCCCAUGAGCCUGUUUUUCAAGCCAGCCAAACAGCACAUUUAGUUUGACAUUCACACUGGACCUCUGUCCAUUUUUAUAAACUUCGCUUUGGGUCAUCAAUAAAACUAAAUGAAGUUCUCUCUUGAUUUUUUGUUAUUGUUGUUCUGCAUACCUGGUAGUGAUCCAGAUACAAAGAUCACAGUUUCCACCUGCCGAAAAAGCAUAGAUUUUUAGAUCUGCACUUGGAGAUAGCCACUGUUGGGUUGCAUUGGACUUUCCAGUGAUAUAUGAAAUAGUGUUAUAAGAGACCCGUUAAAGUUCCGAUAGAUUAUACCAAAGUGUUAC